UACCGGCAGCACGAGUGAUGGCCAAUCUUAUUGGGCCUAAAGCGUCCGUAGCCGGCCAGACAAGUCCGUUGGGAAAUCGACGCGCUCAACGCGUCGGCGUCCAGCGGAAACUGUCUGGCUUGGGGCCGGAAGACCUGAGGGGUACGUCCGGGGUAGGAGUGAAAUCCCGUAAUCCUGGACGGACCACCGGUGGCGAAAGCGCCUCAGGAAGACGGACCCGACGGUGAGGGACGAAAGCUAGGGUCUCGAACCGG
rnacentral:rRNA from 1 species